rnacentral:rRNA from 1 species
GACGAACGCUGGCGGCGUGCUUAACACAUGCAAGUCGAACGGAAAGGCCCUGCUUUUGUGGGUUGCUCGAGUGGCGAACGGGUGAGUAACACGUGAGUAACCUGCCCUUGACUUUGGGAUAACUUCAGGAAACUGGGGCUAAUACCGGAUAGGAGCUCCUUCUUCAUGGUGGGGGUUGGAAAGUUUCGGCGGUUGGGGAUGGACUCGCGGCUUAUCAGCUUGUUGGUGGGGUAGUGGCUUACCAAGGCGUUGACGGGUAGCCGGCCUGAGAGGGUGACCGGCCACAGUGGGACUGAGAAGCGGGCAAGAGUGAUACGGGAGGAAGCAGUGGGGAAUAUUGCAAAAUGGGCGGAAGGCUGAUGGAGGAACGCCGCGUGCGGGAUGACGGCCGUAGGGGUGGAAACCGCGUGCGCGUGGGAAGAAGAGUGAGUGACGGUAAUGGGUAAAGAAGCACCGGCUAACUACGUG